rnacentral:rRNA from 1 species
GACGAACGCUGGCGGCGUGCUUAACACAUGCAAGUCGAACGCUGAAGCCCAGCUUGCUGGGUGGAUGAGUGGCGAACGGGUGAGUAACACGUGAGUAACCUGCCCUCUUCUUUGGGAUAACGCCCGGAAACGGGUGCUAAUACUGGAUAUUCACUGAUUCUCGCAUGGGGGUUGGUGGAAAGGUUUUUUCUGGUGGGGGAUGGGCUCGCGGCCUAUCAGCUUGUUGGUGGGGUGAUGGCCUACCAAGGCUUUGACGGGUAGCCGGCCUGAGAGGGUGACCGGUCACAUUGGGACUGAGAUACGGCCCAGACUCCUACGGGAGGCAGCAGUGGGGAAUAUUGCACAAUGGGCGAAAGCCUGAUGCAGCGACGCCGCGUGAGGGAUGGAGGCCUUCGGGUUGUAAACCUCUUUCGCUCAUGGUCAAGCCGCAACUGUGGGUUGUGGUGAGGGUAGUGGGUAAAGAAGCGCCGGCUAACUACGUGCCAGCAGCCGCGGUAAUACGUAGGGCGCGAGCGUUGUCCGGAAUUAUUGGGCGUAAAGGGCUUGUAGGCGGUUGGUCGCGUCUGCCGUGAAAUCCUCUGGCUUAACUGGGGGCGUGCGGUGGGUACGGGCUGACUUGAGUGCGGUAGGGGAGACUGGAACUCCUGGUGUAGCGGUGGAAUGCGCAGAUAUCAGGAAGAACACCGGUGGCGAAGGCGGGUCUCUGGGCCGUUACUGACGCUGAGGAGCGAAAGCGUGGGGAGCGAACAGG